AGAUUGAACGCUGGCGGCAGGCCUAACACAUGCAAGUCGAGCGGAAACGAGUUAUCUGAACCUUCGGGGAACGAUAACGGCGUCGAGCGGCGGACGGGUGAGUAAUGCCUAGGAAAUUGCCCUGGUGUGGGGGAUAACCAUUGGAAACGAUGGCUAAUACCGCAUAAUGCCUACGGGCCAAAGAGGGGGACCUUCGGGCCUCUCGCGUCAGGAUAUGCCUAGGUGGGAUUAGCUAGUUGGUGAGGUAAGGGCUCACCAAGGCGACGAUCCCUAGCUGGUCUGAGAGGAUGAUCAGCCACACUGGAACUGAGACACGGUCCAGACUCCUACGGGAGGCAGCAGUGGGGAAUAUUGCACAAUGGGCGCAAGCCUGAUGCAGCCAUGCCGCGUGUGUGAAGAAGGCCUUCGGGUUGUAAAGCACUUUCAGUCGUGAGGAAGGUAGUGUAGUUAAUAGCUGCAUUAUUUGACGUUAGCGACAGAAGAAGCACCGGCUAACUCCGUGCCAGCAGCCGCGGUAAUACGGAGGGUGCGAGCGUUAAUCG
rnacentral:rRNA from 2 species